UACGGGGGGGGCAAGCGUUGUUCGGAAUUACUGGGCGUAAAGGGCGCGUAGGUGGCCAACUAAGUCAGACGUGAAAUCCCUCGGCUUAACCGGGGAACUGCGUCUGAUACUGGAUGGCUUGAGUUUGGGAGAGGGACGCGGAAUUCCAGGUGUAGCGGUGAAAUGCGUAGAUAUCUGGAGGAACACCGGUGGCGAAGGCGGCGUCCUGGACCAAUACUGACACUGAAACGCGAAAGCCAGGGGAGCAAACCGGGAGUU
rnacentral:rRNA from 1 species